UUCUUUUUCCCUUUCCCUUAUUUUUAUAAUAGAAUUUCUUAACGGUGGCACCUUCUUGUAUCUAGUAGACUCUGUCUCUCUCUCUCUCUCUCUCAGUGUCUGAAGAAGCGAAUAUUCGAUCGGUGGUGAAGCAUGGCGGCGUGGACUGCUGCGGCGGCUCGACAAGCCUCCAACAUGACUCGCCUUUCCUCUAUCAAACCCCAUUCUCUCCUUCACCGCCGUGGCAUGGCUGGCGGCGGCGAUCCUCAUGGGCCUCCAAAGGUGAAUAUUUGGGAGGACCCAACGAGUCCGUCUAGGUGGAAAGAAGAACAUUUUGUGCUUGUUUCGUUGGCUGGGUGGGGCGCAUUCAUCUAUGGGACUUACAAGUUCUUCACUAGAGGCAAGGGCAACAAAGAAGAGAAAGUUGGAGAAGCACCAAACAAGGCUUGAGGUUGUUACUCCAUAGAAACGAUAUACCAAUUGCUUAAUAAGUUGCUCUACUUAGAUUUAGUUAUAGCUUCAACAUCAAUCGCUCUACUCGAAUCUUUCUCUGCAAUGACAUAAACGAUGACACAUAACGUCAUCAAAUCAAGAUUGAAGGAUAGUAAAAAGAAUAGAUCAUUGGAGUUAGUUACAUUGUAUUCAAUAAAUUGUACUUUCAAGGUUACCAUUUCUAGAACCGGAGAAAUUGUUGAAUGCUUGUCCAAAUGUUGUAGAUUGGUUUGAAAACUUCACGGAGUCCUUCACAAACUCAUUGCCAACAAC